rnacentral:rRNA from 1 species
CGUGUAGGCGGUUAUGUAAGUCAGAUGUGAAAUCCUUCCGCUUAACGGGAGAAGUGCAUUUGAAACUGCAUGACUGGAGUACGGGAGAGGAGAGUGGAAUUCCCGGUGUAGAGGUGAAAUUCGUAGAUAUCGAGAGGAACACCAGUGGCGAAGGCGGCUCUCUGGCCUGAUACUGACGCUGAGACGCGAAAGCGUGGGGAGCAAACAGGAUUAGAUACCCUGGUAGUCCACGCCGUAAACGAUGGGCACUAGGUGUAGGAGGUAUUGACCCCUUCUGUGCCGAAGCUAACGCAUUAAGUGCCCCGCCGUGGGGAGUACGGCCGACAAGGUUAAAA